rnacentral:rRNA from 1 species
GACGAACGCUGGCGGCGUGCUUAACACAUGCAAGUCGAACGAUGAAAGAGGAGCUUGCUCCUCUGGCUUAGUGGCGAACGGGUGAGUAACACGUGAGCAAUCUGCCCCUGACUUCGGAAUAACUACAGGAAACUGUAGCUAAUACCGGAUAUGCGCCGAACAGGCAUCUGUAUCGGUGGGUAAUAAUUUCGGUCAGGGAUGAGCUCGCGGACUAUCAGCUUGUUGGUGAGGGAGCGGCUCACCAAGGCGACGACGGGUAGCCGGCCUGAGAGGGUGAACGGCCACAUUGGGACUGAGACACGGCCCAGACGCCAACGGGAGGCAGCAGUGGGGAAUAUGGCACAAUGGGCGCAAGCCUGAUGCAGCAACGCCGCGUGAGGGAUGACGGCCUUCGGGUUGUAAACCUCUGUUAGCAGGGAAGAAGCGAAAGUGACGGUACCUGCAGAAAAAGCGCCGGCUAACUACGUG